rnacentral:misc_RNA from 1 species
AAGUUGCAAUGUUCAAAAUGAAACCCGAAAUGCACUAUGGAGAGAAGGAUUGUCCAGUUGCAGCUCCAGAUAACUUUCCCAAGGAUUCUGAGCUUCAUUUUGAGAUUGAGUUGAUUGAAUUCUCCAAAGUGAAGGUGAUCACUGAUGAUUUGGGAGUCCUAAAGAAGGUUAUAGAAGAAGGACAAAGCUGGGAAACACCACGGGAACCUUAUGAAGUAAAAGCUUGGAUUUCGGCGAAGUCAGCAGAUGGCAAAGUGAUUCUAUCGUGGACCAAGGAUGAACCAUAUUUCUUCACAUUUGGUAAACCUGAGGUACCCAAAGGUCUUGAACUGGCGAUAGCAACCAUGCCACGUGGAGAGAAAGCAGUCAUUUAUGUUAAAAGCCAAUAUUAUACAGAAUCUACUUUAAUGCCUGUGGUAGAAGGUGUUGACGAAGUCCAUUUUGAGGUGGAACUUGUUCAUUUUAUUCAGGUGCGAGAUGUGCUUGGAGACGGACGCCUCAUAAAACGCCGAAUACGUGAUGGAAGAGGUGAAUUUCCUAUGGAUUGCCCUCUGCAAGACAGUCUACUGCGUGUACACUACAAAGGUUUGCUUCUUAAUGAAGAAAAGACGGUGUUCUAUGAUACAAGAAUCGACAACAAUGGUCAGCCUUUAGAGUUCAGCUCUGGAGAAGGGCUUGUUCCUCAAGGAUUUGAAAUGUCCGUUCGUUUGAUGUUGCCUGGAGAGGUAUCUCUUGUAACAUGCCCGCCUGAUUAUGCCUAUGACAAAUUUGAAAGGCCAGCUAAUGUUCCUGAAGGUGCUUAUGUGCAAUGGGAGAUUGAGCUUCUCGACUUCAACACACCGAAGGACUGGACUGGUUUCAGUUUCAGAGAAAUAAUGGACGAUGUAGAGAAGAUCAAAGGCACGGGUAACAGGCUUUUCAAGGAAGAGAAAUUUGAACUUGCCAAAGCAAAGUAUGAGAAGGUACUUCGUGAGUUUAAUCAUGUUCAUCCUCAGGAUGACGAGGAAGGAAAGGAAUUUGCAAACACCAGGAAUUUGUUGCAUCUCAAUGUUGCUGCCUGCUUACUGAAAUUGGGAGAGCAUAAGAAGUCUAUUGAGACGUGCAAUAAGGUGUUAGAUGCGAAUCCGGUUCAUGUGAAAGCUCUCUAUCGACGUGGGAUGGCUUACAUGGCUUCUGGAGAUUAUGAAGAAGCAAGAGCUGAUUUUAAUAAGAUGAUGAGCAUCGACAAGUCAUCUGAGGCGAGUGCAAAGGCAGCUCUUUUGAAACUUAAAAAGGAGGAACAGGAAGUCGAGAGGAGGGUUCGUAAGCAAUUUAAGGGAUUGUUUGACAAAAGACCUGGAGAAAUCGCAGAAGUUGGGACUAAUGAUGGACAAGAUGAUGAGGCUACAAGUGAAAAUGUUGAAAAGGAUGAUCUUGACAAUUUAGACGACCAAGAAGAGAGAACUCGUCAGACUACAGUGCCUCCCCCUCCGCCAGGUAUUCUUUCUCAAUUGAGAAAGCUUUUCGCGUCUGUUGGCCUGAACCGAUGCACCAUACUGUGAGUAUUCAAAACGAUGAAAUACCAUGCGACCAUCGCGCAACAUCAUUUCAUUUCUGCUCAGUCAAUUUCUCCAAAGAGAACAUAGAAGGUGAUUA